rnacentral:rRNA from 1 species
GCCAACAGUCUAGCCCCCUCCCCCCCUUUUAUGACCCCCUCAAUAUUUUGCUGUAUAAAACAAAACAUUUUAUAAAUUUAGUAAAGGCGAUUAAAAAAUUUUUAGGAGCAAUAAAAAUAGUACCGCAAGGGAAAGAUGAAAUAAAAAUGAAAUAAAUUUCAAGCAGAAAACAGUAGAGACUCAUCCUCGUACCUUUUGCAUCAUGGUUUAACAAGUCUAAUCAAGCAUAACGACUUAUAGUUUGACCUCCCGAAACUAAGUGAGCUACUUCAAGGCAGCUUAUUGAGCAAACCCGUCUCUGUCGCAAAAGAGUGGGAAGACCUUCAAGUAGGGGUGACAGACCUAACGAACUUAGUGAUAGCUGGUUACUCAAGAAAAGGAUUUUAGUCCAGCCUAAAGUCUAACCGAUACUUCGAAACAAAUCUCUGACUUUAGAGUAAUUCAAAUAAGGUACAGCCUAUUUGAAAAAGGAUACAACCUAAACUAACGGGUAACAUUUUAAUCUUAUAACUAAGUGGGCCUAAAAGCAGCCACCUUUAAAAUAGCGUCAAAGCUUCACUAUAACAUUAACCCAAUUCCUUCAAACAACCCGAACCCUUUAACCCUAUUGAGUAAUUCUAUACUUCUAUAGAACAUAUAAUGUUAAAACUAGUAACAAGAAGAAGACCUUCUCUUAAAUGCAAGUGUAGAUCAGAAAGGACCCGCCACUGAUAUUUAACACCCUUGAAACCACAUUAGCAACUCCACAAGAAAACCCUAAUAAACUAAGUGUUAACCUAACACAAGAGCAUUUCAAGAAAGAUUAAAAGAAAAAGAAGGAACUCGGCAAAUAUUAACCUCGCCUGUUUACCAAAAACAUCGCCUCUUGAUUAAUCAUAAGAGGUCCAGCCUGCCCAGUGACUUUGUUCAACGGC